AUGGAAUACCAUUGUCAUGCAAAUAAAGGACGCGUAAAAUAUCCCCCUCGCGCGCACUGCAGAGCAGAGACUCACUGGGAUCGCACGAAGGACGCGAAGCACGGGGCACGCGGGGGAAUUUCAUACUACGUCGUCGCCAGAACCCGUCCAAUUGUCACAGCCACCCUUGCCAGACGAACUGCGGCGGCUCCAGGAUCCUGCAGGCAAGAGGGUAAAAUCGCAAGAACCAACCUGCCCAGAUUCAACUGCAUUUUAUUCACCUUGUUUGGAGAUAACCGUGGCCGUUCUUCCAGAAUACCUACAGAAGAAAAGUUUCAACUGUCGCUCUGCUCCAUCUCUGCAAUAUAACAUAUACUACCUGUUGCUGCUAGUAACAACGGAGGAGAAGAGGGGGAGACUACACCUUGCGACACUUGGAUCUCUUAUAAACACACUUUGUAGGGAGUUGGAUUUCGCAACCUUUAAUCUUUUGCACACCAAGUGUGUUAUUUUGUCUAUGUCCAUUUUGGGAUAUUAGUGGUUUUACCAUAUCUAUAAUAUACACGUUUUUAAAGUGCCUUACAACUGGUAUUAAUCCAGUAUUUGGUGGGUAUUCCAACGCCAGAGACUCCAAUCAGUGACUAUCAGAUAGAAAGGCACAGGAUCUAUCUCUAUAUCCCGGUCUCACCAUGAGUCAAGGGGAUGUAUCAACUUGCUCUGCGCCUCAGAUCGUAUUCCAAGAGGCGGUGAAGCAAGGCAACACAAAGGAACUCCACUCGUUGCUCCAGAACAUGACAAACUGCGAAUUCAAUGUCAACUCCUUCGGGCCCGAAGGACAGACGGCGUUGCAUCAGUCAGUCAUCGAUGGGAAUCUCGAACUUGUAAAACUGCUGGUGAAAUUCGGAGCCGAUAUUCGAUUGGCGAACAGGGAAGGGUGGAGUGCCUUACACAUUGCCGCUUUUGGAGGACAUCAAGACAUAGUCCUAUACCUCAUCACUAAGGCAAAGUACUCCUCUGGCGCACGGUGAUCUGCUACACUGCUGUCAGGUAAACACACGGAAAGCCAGGCUCUUGUAUAUUAGCGUUUCGAUCUAUAGUUGUGCCAAAUUAUAGCCUACAAAACACAGCAACUUCCCUUUCAUCAAAACCAAACGGGGGUCUCUCUCACUCGUGAGUCAAACGCCACAUGGUUCUUGUAUCCGCUUCAGCAUAAAAAAACGCCAUUUUGUUGGGUUGGUACUAAAGCUUUUUCCUUGAACGUGUAUAAUAGAUUGGGACGUAUAAAAUAACUAAGCCAGUGUUUGGGUCCCGAGACCUGAUAGCAGCCUAGUUUUACGCAGCGAUAGACUUUCUAUAGAUUUUUUUGUCGCGGUUACAUUGAAACACUUUUUUAUUGGGCUUCGUAUUGAGGUGUUGCCUUGUAACUGCGGUGGUCACACAGGACCCUUUUUAAAUGAUUUUAUAUACUAAAAGAUGGCACUUGUUGCUGUAGCUGCAUGCUGGAAUAUAUGAAAGGGAAGAAAAGGUGAACACGGGAAAUGAAGGCCAUACUAUAUUUGGCUAUUUCUUUUUUAAAUUAUAGGAUUUGAUCUAUUUCAAAGAGCAGCAUUAUUAGGCCUAUAUAUAUUACACCCAACCGGCAUUUCCAGAUGUGUAUCAUUGUAACAACUAUUGACUUAAUGUUGUUAAGUACUUUACACAAUAGCUUUACUUUGUUUCUUUAUAAUAAAAAAGUAGCUAAAUGCGCCCUGCCUCCUUCAAGCAGGCUGCUGGCAUGUAUCAAUGUCUCUUCGGGCCAGUGCGACCGCAGUGUCAAUGGUUAAUGUGAUAUAAACCGCUGCUUUCGCUUUGUAUCAAAACGUCAGGAAAGUGGCAUUUGGAAUUCACUUUAAUCUCCUUUCAGUAUUUUAACGAACAACACCCUGGUCAUCACUGUGAAUACAGGCUGGGUUCUAUUUAUGAAGGUACAUUGACCAGAUGCAUUUUGAAAAUUCUGUGGUUAUUCUUUUCAAAUCAAAUCUGUUACGUUUAAGAAUAUUUAGGGUGACUUAUAAAGCUGCUUCAGACUCUAUGCUUAUCAUAGUAUAAACUAUCCUGUGUGGAGACCCCAUGUUACAAUAAGCCUAAAUUUGACCUUGCUAAAGAGAGACUCUUCUUUGUCCCUCAUUAACUUCUUGUUUGGUUUUAUUUGCCAACUACCUCGACUGUAAAGUAUUCAAAACCAUUGGACUCUUGCUCACUCCACAACACUCCAAUAUGGGGAGUCACUCACAUCCUUUAGCACAGUGGAUCCCAACCAUUUUUGGUUACUGUACCUGAAGUACCCCCUCAGGUGCAUUUUAUCAGUAGGCCUAUGGUCUGAUGAGUCUUCUCAAGUACCCCCUGUUGAUAAGGCCCCCCCCCCCCCCCCUAGUUGGAAACCACUGAUCUAGCCUAUCCCCAAGCCUGCCUUAUAGGCCAGAAAUAAUGCUCAUUCCCACAGACAUUUUAAGUAAUAGCUAUUUUAGCAGUAGGCCCCAAGCCAAUGUUAUUUAACCCAGUGAUAUAGGCUAGGAGACAACUAUGGUGUUUCUUCUGCAAAGCAAUAAUGUCUAUUUCAUAUUAAUCAAGCCCGUUUCUUAUCUUCAUCUGGGAUGAAUUUAUUUCCCACACUACAACCAAACUGUAAUCUGACAAGCAAAGCGUUUUAUUUUUUUUUGCCUUUCUGUAAAGGUAUGGUUGCAAACACACAUUGCCUUUCUGUAAAGGUAUGGUUGCAAACACACAUUGCCUUUCUGUAAAGGUAUGGUUGCAAACACACAUUGCCUUUCUGUAAAGGUAUGGUUGCAAACACACAUUGCCUUUUUUUUGUUUUAUACAUUAUAUAGUCGUUCUGUUUGAAGUUUCUAUUUAGUCACAAAAAUUGCAUUUUAUUGCCUGACUUAUAAAUGCAGGGAGUUUUAUUGCACAAAAUGCAGAGCCUUUUUACGCCCCCUGGUGCCUGUCCGGGUAACUGCAGGAGUUGAGGCUUAGAAAUAGUUACUACUGAGCAGGAGUAAAACAUUUUAUUACUCUCAUGUUAUGAUGACUAACAUCUACAUGACUAUUGCAGGAUAUAUAUAUAAAACAAAUGGUUUAAACUGCCUGCUGCAUUUUGAAAGUCAUGGCACCCUAAUGUUUGUCCACUGCUGCUUGUAUGAUUUAUAUUAGAUUUGACUCAAUGGCCAACAGUAAGUGAAAGAAAAAUAUCUGAUAGCAUCACAGUCAUUCAAUGAAAAUCUCUCUCUGUGCGUGUGUGUGUGUGUGUGUGUGUGUGUGUGUGUGCCCAUGCGUAUGAAUGAAUGAAUGUGUGUAUAUGUCUGUGUGUGCUGCAUUCAUCUGACUGUUGUGUCCUGAGUGAGUUGAGCUGUGUUCCCCUUCCCUGGCCUGUGUGUGGCCUGCUCCUCUCCUCGAGUGUGUGGCUUUAUGUUGCUACCUGGGGGUCUUCCCUCCCUACAGUAAGGAGAGACACCAGGGAUGAAGGACUGUCCUUCCAUGUACCUGGAAAAGCAAACUAAAUGGAUUAGAAAGAAACAUCAAGGAAUAGAUUGGUUUUAGUGGAACAAAAAAAUAUGCAUCGCUUGUCUUAAACUUGAUAUUUUUUAUAUAUAUAUAUAUAUUUUAAAUAUUGCACUGACUGUUGUUGAUUAAGUUGACUUUUUAUCAAGUCAAAUUGUAUUGUUUUUCCGAAUAGAACAAAAGGAACACAACAAAAUACUAUUGUAUAAAAACAACAACAGGUUGUAAUGUUUUGUGUGUUAACUUUGUGAAACAUUGUGUUAAGGCAAAGAUUGUUUGAAUCUUUGUGAUCGGGUAUGUGUUUAUAUACAGUACCAGUCAAACGUUUGGACACCUACUCAUUCAAGGGUAGGUAUAACAAAUAAAGAGAAACCCUGGAGUGAGUGGGUGGGUCCUGACUUUUGACUGGUACUGUUUAUAUAUAAUAUGCUGAAAUAUCUUGGAGCACUUUCUUUUCUGAAGUGCUGUCCUCCUCCUGUUGUUAUGAAAGGGGAAAAAUACAUUUGAUGGUAAGAUCAUUGUUACAAAAAAAAUUGCACAGCGUAUGGUUGUUCUACUCAAGUGUCAUAACAUUUAUGGCCCGAGAGAGGACGACUGGAUAGGUGUAAAUGAAUGAGAGUGCUAACGUUUAAAUAAAUACAUUGGGCCGUGGCGUGUUCUGUUUUCGUUAGGCUUUUUUUCGAGCGAAACAAAAACCAAUGUCUGAGUUUAAUGAGUGAUGCUGAAGUUCCAUCGUGUUUUGAUUUGGGGUUUUCUUGUUUUUGUUGUGUAUUUUGAACAUUUGUAACACUGUGAUCAUGAUGUGUGUUGACAAAAUGAGUGCUGUAAUAUUUUUGUACGUUUGUGUACAAGCCAGUAAAAAAAAUCUUUAAACUCUGUGUGUCUAUGCAUGUUUCUUUUUCCUUACAGUCCCAGCCCCCGUUACCCAUAGAGAAAAAUAGUGACGGGCACAUACCCCUCUUCUCUCCCGUUCUCCCAGACUAGCCCAGAUCCCCUCUUCCCCCUCUCCCAGGCCAUCCGGAUCCCCAUUCUCUCCCUUUGUUAUUC
rnacentral:lncRNA from 1 species